GUGAAGUGCUUAUUCUCUGUUGUGUGUGUCCUUGGCACAGUGUAAAUGGUGGGGGUAGUCCUUUUUUGUCAUCCUUGCUAGCAAUGUCCGUGUUGUGUUCGUUUUGCAUUAUGCCGCACCCGCUCGUCGGGCUUGCUCUCCGGCUAGUCCGGGUGAUUUCUUUUAGAUUGGUAUCCUGCGUUAUCCAGCGUUUUUUUUUGGUUUCCCUUUGGUCGGUAGGUGCAUAUAGUUCGUUGUGCUCGGCUUUGUAUGCUUACCAGGUAAGAUAUCUCGUACGUUCAUGUUACUAUUUUAUUUAUUAAUUCCGUU